GGGGGUGUAGCUCAAUUGGUAGAGCAAUGGACUCUUAAUCCAUAGGUUGGGGGUUCGAUUCCCUCCACCCUCA
rnacentral:tRNA from 1 species